UGUUAAUUUUUUAAUUAAUACAACCUGCUCGGUGAAAUUUUAACAGCCUCAGUAUCUUAACUGGGCAAAGGUAGCAUAAUUACUUGUUUUUUGAAUAAAAACUUGUUUGAAGGGUUAAACUUAUUUUUUUCAUGAAAAUAAUUUUGAAUUUUCUUUAAAGUAAAAAAGCUUUAAAUAAAAAAAAGACGAGAAGACCCUUAAAGCUUUUAAUUUUAAAUGGGGUAUUUAAAUAAUUUUUUUAGAUUAUAUUGAAGAAUAAGUUACUUAAGGGAUAACAGGAUAAUAUUAAAUAAAGACCAUAUUUACUUUAAUGUUUUUUACCUCGAUGUUGAAUUAAUUUUUUCCUUAUUAUGCAACAGUAUAAAGGGUCAGCCUGUUCGGCUGUGAAAAAAUUACA
rnacentral:rRNA from 1 species